rfam:Schistosoma mansoni, Puerto Rico, WGS project CABG01000000 data, contig: 0032
AUCCAGCUGAUGAGUACCAAAUAGGACGAAACGCGCGUCAAACUGGAU